AACGCACAUUGCACCCGGUGGUAUUCCGCCGGGUAUGCCUGUUCGAGCGUCAUUAUAACCACUCAAGCCUGUCUUGGUGUUGGGGUUGCGAAUCUUUUGCAGCCCUCGAGUCUCGUAGCGCCACCUGUGGGUUCUAAGCGUAGUAAUUUCUCCUCGCUAUAGAACUUGCUCGGGGAAAAGUAUAAUUCGUAGCCUGGUUCUAUGUGUCCGCUAUAAAACCCCCAAUUUUUAAAGGUUGACCUCGGAUCAAGUAGGGAUACCCGCUGAACUUAA
rnacentral:misc_RNA from 2 species